GGGGUCGACCGGAAUAGACAGGAUAGCGAUGGUUAUGUAAGCAUGCAGUGCGUUGUUAGUAGAGCACUUUAAUCUGAACUUUCAACUUUAUAACUGGCGAAAAUAACUACGCCUUAGCUGCCUAAGUUAGACUUAGCAUAGCUAUUUGUCCCGUUAGAUCCUGUUCUUUGGUCUAACAUCAGGGGCAUCGAACAAUAGAACUGGCCGAUGUGAUGUUGCUAAGCAUUCGGUGAGAUACAGCAACUACGGAGAACGGUAUAGGUACGCGACUCACCUUCCCUCUCCCGACAAUUAAAGAGAAGCUAAGCAUGUAGAAAGCGUAAAUCAUACUAUGUUUGGACGAGGGUUCGAAUCCCUCCGACUCCACGA
rnacentral:tmRNA from 1 species